rnacentral:rRNA from 1 species
UGAUCCCAUCCCGAACUCAGAAGUGAAACAGAUCUGCGCCGAUGGUAGUGUGGCAUGGCCCAUGCGAGAGUAGGUCAUCGUCAGGC